ACUAUUAUUUCAUAAUUCUCUCUCAUUUUAGGUAGCUUGCAUGUCACAUUUUUGGGUAAUUUUCUUUCAAUAUUCUACUAUUUUUAUAAUUUUGAUUGAAUCAAAACACUUGAAAGUAAUUUACAAGAGUUUAGGGGACAAUGAAGAUAAUAUGACUUGGAUCAAUUGAAGUUCAUAAUUUGGCUUUAAUGCUUGAUGACUCAUAUCGACAUCGUCCGAGUCCCCAUUGUUUUUCCAUAUUUAUUUACAACUUUUAUUAGUCUUUUCCUUUUCUUUAAUCUAUAUCUAUUUUAAAACCACAAACUUGCAAUAUCUAUUUAUACUUUCGCCAUAUCUUUGGACUUUUUACUACUAUUAACAACACUAGUCUCUCUAAAUCAUGACUUCUUUUCCAAUUAGUUGAAUUUUAUAUUCUUAAUUUUGCUCAACCAUUCCCUUCUUACCGACGGAUCUACUUUGGGCCAACUACGUCUUCUCACCUCACGCUUGUCGUCUCGACGAUUCCACAUUUACUAAAGUGUGCAGGGUGAGAUACGAGUCAGGAGGACGGGGUCAAAAGGAAUUCAGGUGAAAAGAACGCAGGAAGUGUGCAAUGCUUAUCAUGAUGCAUGCCAUGGAACUUGAGCACGAGAUGAAAGGGAUUGCUAUAUAAUGAUUAUCUAUCUAGAGGGGCAGAAUCGUCAUUUGAAGAGAAGUAGCCCUAGGGAUUGGGGCAGACCGCCCUAUAAAUAGAAGAUCAGCAUUGAAGAAAAGAGACGCACCUUGGAGAUUAGCUCCACUCCACUCUCAUAGCUCGCUCUAGUAGUUCUUCACUUGAAGCCUUCGGCCGCUUGCCGGAGAAGGGAGUUCACCGUCCGUUCCAGCCAGUUGCCACCGUAUUUCAAGAAUUUAUCAGUUCUAUCGCUCCGAGGAGCCAAAACAAUCUUUAUUUGCUUUGUUUUCAUGAAUGCUUAAGUUUUAGUACUUGUUUACCUUGCAUUUAACGCUGAUUUUAGCUAAUCUUUUGUUGGAAACAUCGUUUGGUUUGAAUAUCGUAAAUGCAAUGGAUUUCUUUUGGUUUA